UGAGGAAUAUUGGUCAAUGGGAGGAAUCCUGAACCAGCCAUGCCGCGUGCAGGACGACGGCUCUACGAGUUGUAAACUGCUUUUGUACCGGGGUAAAAUGCUCUACGAGUAGGGUUUUGAAAGUACGGUACGAAUAAGGAUCGGCUAACUCCGUGCCAGCAGCCGCGGUAAUACGGAGGAUCCGAGCGUUAUCCGGAUUCAUUGGGUUUAAAGGGUGCGUAGGUUGUUUUAUAAGUUAGCGGUGAAAUACCGAUGCUCAACAUCGGGGCUGCCGCUAAUACUGUAGGACUAGAGAUCGGAUGCAGCAGGCGGAAUGUGUAGUGUAGCGGUGAAAUGCAUAGAUAUUACACAGAACACCGAUUGCGAAGGCAGCUUGCUAGGCCGGAUCUGACACUGAUGCACGAAAGUGUGGGUAUCAAACAGGAUUAGAUACCC
rnacentral:rRNA from 1 species